ACGUAAGGGUACCGUAUCCUGACACUAGAAAACGUACGCAUGCGUAUGGAUUAGAGUUGGAUAUUCAGGACGAAAUCCUACAGCAAAUGACGCAACUCAUGACCGAAAUGCGCAUCGUUGGGAAAUUAAGUAUGAUGCUUUUUCAGAAAGGUACUAAUUACAUACACUAUACUUUUUUCAAUCUAAUUUGGCUUUAAAAUUGCUAUACGAGGAUGUAAAAAGUCGGUUUAAUGUUAAGUACAUACUAACGUACGGAUUGAAUCAGGACGUACUUGAGAAUUUUUUUUGCGUUAUUCGCUCGAAAGGAGGCAUGAAUGACCAUCCCGAUCGCCAACAAUUCAAGUAGCGCCUGCGCUCCUACAUCCUCGGAUUCAACGAGGGCGUGCUGUCAGACAGCGCGAAUGUGUCAAUCGACGACACUCCAGACUUUGAGUUAGAAAGCAACUCGCUCACAGGCAUUAUUUUCAAUAAAAUUUUAUUGAAAUCAGACGAAGGCAACGAAAAAAGUAGCGCGCAAGAGGAACAAGAAAUGGAAGGUCUGGAAAACGACGGGCUCGAAAAUCUCGCGGGGUAUAUCUGUCAUAAACUGCAUAGCUCAGUGCCAUAUUUGAGAGCAGAAAACGCCGAUGACAGCUAUACCUGGGUGAACCACCUUACGGAAGGUGGUUUGUCAAAGCCCACAGAAGAGUUGAUGGCGCAUAUGCAGCAACUGCAGAGCGUGUUUGACGAAAUUAACGGCAACGGGUUAAAGAUAAUGCAAAAUUUCGUAGAGGACCACAUCAGAAGCGCCAAUCAUAUAAGCUCUGAUGUGAGGGUGAAGUGAUUAUUUUUGCGCACACGCAUGUUCGUCAGAAUACGAUCUUUAAAUAAGCAACUUUUUGACAGUGCAAAAUCACGAAAACGAUAGUUUCGAAAAAUAAUUACGUAAAGAUCCUAAAAGCUGGACUCUUAUCUGCCUUAUUUUUAAUUUUCGGCUAGUCGUCGAACCAAGCAACCAAUUUUGAGAACAAUUUCUCGUAUACACCUCAAAAGUAAGGAACAAUAACUACGCACUCCAGCAAUACUAUCCAACAAUUCUUUGGCGAAUAUGUAUGCUGUUACAACAACAACAACAAGAACAACAACAACAACAAGGGUGAGAACUAUGUGAUAAAAAUAAAAAUCAUGAUCACAGUGAUGGUUAUGAAUCCAACGAUAUUGACGACAAUGAGACUGAAAACCUGCUCAACGAGAAUUUGCCUGAUGACUUUAAGGAACCGAAGAAACCGAAAUAUGAAGAACUCUUUAAAACUGUAUUGGAAGAAAGGACAUAACCAUUUUGAAGUUUUGCCUGGGCGUUGGGUUCAGGUGACUCACAACAGCGGCAUGUUACUAUUUGGGCAUAAACAAACGCGUGUCGUUACAGCGUCGAGAAGCUAUUUUCUUGGUCAUGGCAGUGCGCGAGUAAGUUGCUUCUAGUUUUUAACGUUUCUUUGGGAAGUUCGUAUUUGAGUGAAGAUCUUCGACGAACAGCAUUGCAGAAAAUGGCGAAGCCAUGGACACAAGUGAGCCUACAGUUACUACAGCGCCUGCGUCUUUACUCCUCAAAAGUGCAGCAUCAACACUCGCAGGCGUCACUGCGAAUCCAGAGGACUUGGCUGCUAAUGUUGCGGCUUUAAAGAGCCUAGUACCGCCUGCAAAGAUCGUCACUGUCACCGAAAAUACGCAACAAGAGUCGCUGACGCCUGAACAAUUAUAUAAAUACUGCACCAAAUUGUUCAAUUCAAGGUAAUACGCGUUUUGCGUUUUCGCUCGUGGAAUGCGCGGCAGAAAUUCACAAAGAAUCGUAAACACGUUAAAAACUUACAACGUCCCACAAUCCCCGAUAGCAGGAAGUUGAUUAAAUUUCCAAUAUUGGUGCCAAGCGGCGAUGCGAUGCGACUGAAUUUAAAUAUGACUGAAUAUUUAUUUAGCUAUUAAAAUAUCUACUGUUUGACUGGAAUGGAACCGCCGACCAAAUUAGUGUAAGCACAAAUAAACACUGGUUGUAAAUGUAUAGAAAUAUCUAAAUUC
rnacentral:lncRNA from 1 species